ACUGCUCAGUAACACGUGGACAACCUGCCCAAAGGUCCGGGAUAACCCCGGGAAACUGGGGAUAAUACCGGAUAAAUCACGAGUACUGGAAGGUUUUGUGGUUGAAACUUCCGGGGCCUUUGGAUGGGUCUGCGGCGGAUUAGGUUGUUGCCGGUGUAACGUACCGUCAUGCCUGUAAUCCGUACGGGUUGUGGGAGCAAGAGCCCGGAGAUGGAUUCUGAGACACGAAUCCAGGCCCUACGGGGCGCAGCAGGCGCGAAAACUCUACAAUGCAGGCAACUGCGAUAGGGGAACAUCGAGUGAUACUCAUUUUGGGUGUCUGUCCCACCGUCUAAAAAACGGUGGUUAGCAAGGGCCGGGCAAGACCGGUGCCAGCCGCCGCGGUAAUACCGGCGGCUCGAGUGGUGGCCGAUAUUAUUGAGUCUAAAGGGUCCGUAGCCGGCUUUGCAAGUCUUUUGGGAAAUCCAGCGGCGUAACCGUUGGUCGUCCGGGAGAUACUACAUUGCUUGGGACUGGGAGAGGUAAGAGGUACUCAGGGGGUAGGAGUGAAAUCCUGUAAUCCUUUGGGGACCACCGGUGGCGAAGGCGUCUUACCAGAACAGGUCCGACGGUGAGGGACGAAAGCUAGGGGCACGAACCGGAUUAGAUACCCGGGUAGUCCUAGCCGUAAACGAUGCUCGCUAGGUGUCACAACAAUCGUGAAUUGUUGUGGUGCCGUAGGGAAGCCGUGAAGCGAGCCACUUGGGAAGUACGACCGCAAGGUUGAAACUUAAAGGAAUUGGCGGGGGAGCACA
rnacentral:rRNA from 1 species